AUUAGAGUUUGAUCAUGGCUCAGAACGAACGCUGGCGGCAGGCCUAACACAUGCAAGUCGAAGGAGAAGCCGGACUUCGGUCCGGUGGAAACUGGCGCACGGGUGAGUAACGCGUGGGUAUCUACCUUGGGGUGGGGAAUAACCGCUGGAAACGGCGGCUAAUACCGCAUACGCCUUUAGAGGGAAAGCUCCGGCGCCCUAAGAGGAGCCCGCGUUGGAUUAGCUUGUUGGUGGGGUAACGGCCUACCAAGGCUACGAUCUAUAGCUGGUCUGAGAGGAUGAUCAGCCACACUGGGACUGAGAUACGGCCCAGACUCCUACGGGAGGCAGCAGUGGGGAAUAUUGGACAAUGGGCGCAAGCCUGAUCCAGCCAUGCCGCGUGAGUGAAGAAGGCCUUAGGGUUGUAAAGCGCUUUCACCUGCGAAGAUGAUGACGGUAGCAGGAGAAGAAGCCCCGGCUAACUCCGUGCCAGCAGCCGCGGUAAUACGGAGGGGGCUAGCGUUGUUCGGAUUUACUGGGCGUAAAGGGCGCGUAGGCGGUAUGCCAUGUCAGGGGUGAAAGGCCUGGGCUCAACCCAGGAACUGCCUUUGAAACUGGCAAACUAGAGUCCGAUAGAGGAUGGCGGAAUUCCCAGUGUAGAGGUGAAAUUCGUAGAUAUUGGGAAGAACACCAGUGGCGAAGGCGGCCAUCUGGAUCGGCACUGACGCUGAGGCGCGAAAGCGUGGGGAGCAAACAGGAUUAGAUACCCUGGUAGUCCACGCCGUAAACGAUGUGUGCUAGACGUUGGGGGCCUUACGCCCUGAGUGUCGCAAAGGUUAAAACUCAAAGGUACGGCCGAGCACAGUGUCGCA
rnacentral:rRNA from 1 species